AGUCCAUGAUGUGGUCACUUUUUCAGCAUAUCCUUGUACCUUUCCCAUGCCUCAUAUAGUGAGUCAUGGUCCCAUUGAGUAAAAUGAAUGAUCUCUGCCAUAAGGUG